CACACCGCCCGUCGCUCCU
rnacentral:siRNA from 1 species